rnacentral:rRNA from 1 species
AAUCAACGCUGGCGGCGUGCCUAACACAUGCAAGUCGAACGAGAAAGUGGAGCAAUCCACAAGUAAAGUGGCGCACGGGUGAGUAACACGUGACUAACCUACCCUUGAGUGGGGGAUAACCUAGGGAAACCGUGGGCUAAUACCGCAUAAUACCUAUGGGUCAAAGGAGCAAUUCGCUUUUGGUAGGGGGUCGCGGCAGAUUAGUUAGUUGGCAGGGUAAUGGCCUACCAAGACGAUGANCUGCAUCCGGCCUGAGA